rnacentral:rRNA from 1 species
AGUAGUUUGAUCAGUGGCUCAGGAUGAACGCUGGCGGCGUGCCUAAUACAUGCAAGUCGAGCGGAAAGGCCUCUUCGGAGGUACUCGAGCGGCGGACGGCAGAGUAACGCGUAGGAACAUACCCCAAACUGAGGGAUAACUGCCCGAAAGGGUGGCUAAUACCGCAUGUGAUCUUCGGAUUAAAGCUUCGGCGGUUUGGGAAUGGCCUGCGUUCGAUUAGCUAGUUGGUGAGGUAAAGGCUCACCAAGGCGACGAUCGAUAACUGGUCUGAGAGGAUGAUCAGUCUGACUGGAACUGAGACACGGUCCAGACUCCUACGGGAGGCAGCAGUAGGGAAUUUCCACAAUGGGCGAGAGCCUGAUGGAGCAACGCCGCGUGCAGGAUGAAGGCCCUUGGGUCGUAAACUGCUUUUAUGUGAGAAGAAUAUGACGGUAACACAUGAAUAAGGGUCGGCUAACUACGUG